GUGAGGAAUAUUGGUCAAUGGCCGAGAGGCUGAACCAGCCAUGCCGCGUGCGGGAGGACGGCCCUAUGGGUUGUAAACCGCUUUUGUUGGGGAGCAAUAAGGGUCACGCGUGACCUGAUGAGAGUACCCAGCGAAUAAGCAUCGGCUAACUCCGUGCCAGCAGCCGCGGUAAUACGGAGGAUGCGAGCGUUAUCCGGAUUUAUUGGGUUUAAAGGGUGCGUAGGCGGGUUCUUAAGCGUGAGGUGAAAUGCCACGGCUCAACCGUGGAACUGCCUCGCGAACUGGGAGUCUGGAAUGCCCCUGCCGUGGGAGGAAUGUGUGGUGUAGCGGUGAAAUGCAUAGAGAUCACACAGAACACCGAUUGCGAAGGCAUCUCACGAAGGGGUGAUUGACGCUGAGGCACGAAAGCGUGGGGAUCAAACAGGAUUAGAAACCCUAGUAGUCC
rnacentral:rRNA from 1 species